UAGGGAAUCUUCCACAAUGGACGCAAGUCUGAUGGAGCAACGCCGCGUGAGUGAAGAAGGUCUUCGGAUCGUAAAGCUCUGUUGUUGGUGAAGAAGGAUAGAGGCAGUAACUGGUCUUUAUUUGACGGUAAUCAACCAGAAAGUCACGGCUAACUACGUGCCAGCAGCCGCGGUAAUACGUAGGUGGCAAGCGUUGUCCGGAUUUAUUGGGCGUAAAGCGAGCGCAGGCGGAAUGAUAAGUCUGAUGUGAAAGCCACGGCUCAACCGUGGAACUGCAUCGGAAACUGUCAUUCUUGAGUGCAGAAGAGGAGAGUGGAACUCCAUGUGUAGCGGUGGAAUGCGUAGAUAUAUGGAAGAACACCAGUGGCGAAGGCGGCUCUCUGGUCUGCAACUGACGCUGAGGCUCGAAAAGCAUGGGUAGCGAACAGGAUUAGAUACCCUG
rnacentral:rRNA from 1 species